rnacentral:rRNA from 1 species
GACGAACGCUGGCGGCGUGCUUAACACAUGCAAGUCGAACGGAAAGGCCCUGCUUUUGUGGGGUGCUCGAGUGGCGAACGGGUGAGUAACACGUGAGUAACCUGCCCUUGACUUUGGGAUAACUUCAGGAAACUGGGGCUAAUACCGGAUAGGAGCUCCUGCUGCAUGGUGGGGUUGGAAAGUUUCGGCGGUUGGGGAUGGACUCGCGGCUUAUCAGCUUGUUGGUGGGGUAGUGGCUUACCAAGGCUUUGACGGGUAGCCGGCCUGAGAGGGUGACCGGCCACAUUGGGAUGAGGAUACGGCCCAGACUCCUACGGAGGGCAGCAGUGGGGAAUAUUGCACAAAUGGGCGGAAGGCCUGAUGCAGCAACG